AGGAAUAUUGGUCAAUGGGCGGGAGCCUGAACCAGCCAAGUCGCGUGAGGGAUGACUGUCCUAUGGAUUGUAAACCUCUUUUGUCAGGGAGCAAAGGGCGUCACGUGUGGCGUUUUGCGAGUACCUGAAGAAAAAGCAUCGGCUAACUCC
rnacentral:rRNA from 1 species